rnacentral:rRNA from 1 species
GUUGAACGCUGGCGGCAUGCCUUACACAUGCAAGUCGAACGGUAACAGGUCUUCGGAUGCUGACGAGUGGCGAACGGGUGAGUAAUACAUCGGAACGUGCCCGAUCGUGGGGGAUAACGGAGCGAAAGCUUUGCUAAUACCGCAUACGAUCUACGGAUGAAAGCAGGGGACCGCAAGGCCUUGCGCGGACGGAGCGGCCGAUGGCAGAUUAGGUAGUUGGUGGGAUAAAAGCUUACCAAGCCGACGAUCUGUAGCUGGUCUGAGAGGACGACCAGCCACACUGGGACUGAGACACGGCCCAGACUCCUACGGGAGGCAGCAGUGAGGAAUUUUGGACAAUGGGCGCAAGCCUGAUCCAGCCAUGCCGCGUGCAGGAUGAAGGCCUUCGGGUUGUAAACUGCUUUUGUACGGAACGAAAAGACUCUGGUUAAUACCUGGGGUCCAUGACGGUACCGUAAGAAUAAGCACCGGCUAACUACGUG